CCUGCCCCUAGAGGCUCUGCAGGUGUGGCUGCUGUGUCACAUAUGUGUCAGGAAAUGACAGAGAGGGGAGAGGCCAUGUUUAUAUUCAGUGUCCUGACCUAUGAACAUCUGAAUGAUUGGUAGCCUAACACU